rnacentral:rRNA from 1 species
UACGAGAGGCCCAAACGUGAUUCGGAAUUACUGGGCUUAAAGAGUUCGUAGGCGGCGCAGAAAGUAGGGUGUGAAAGCCCUCGGCUUAACCGAGGAAUUGCGCUCUAAACUACUGUGCUUGAGGAACCUAGAGGUGAGCAGAACAGAUGGUGGAGCGGUGAAAUGCGUUGAUAUCAUCUGGAAUACCGGAGGCGAAGGCGGCUCACUGGGGGUUUUCUGACGCUGAGGAACGAAAGCCAGGGUAGCGAACGGG